AAUGAACGUUGGCGGCAUGGAUUAGGCAUGCAAGUCGAGCGAGAAGGGUUUGGUAGCUUGCUAUUGAACCUGGACAGCGGCGAAAGGGAGAGUAACGCGUAGUUACCUGCCCCAGGGUCCGGAAUAGCCACGGGAAACUGUGGGUAAUGCCGGAUAACAUCUUCGGAUCAAAGGUGUGAUUCCGCCCUGGGAGGGGACUGCGUCCUACUAGCUUGUUGGCGGGGUAAUGGCCCACCAAGGCGACGAUGGGUAGCGGGUGUGAGAGCAUGACCCGUCUCACUGGGACUGAGACACUGCCCAGACACCUACGGGUGGCUG
rnacentral:rRNA from 1 species